rnacentral:rRNA from 1 species
UUGGACAAUGGAGGCAACUCUGAUCCAGCCAUGCCGCGUGAAGGAAUAAGGCCCUAUGGGUUGUAAACUUCUUUUAGACGGGACAAAACCCCUUUACGUGUAAAGGGUUGAUAGUACUGUCAGAAUAAGCAUCGGCUAACUUCGUGCCAGCAGCCGCGGUAAUACGAAGGAUGCAAGCGUUAUCCGGAAUUAUUGGGUUUAAAGGGUGCGUAGGCGGACUAAUAAGUCAGUGGUGAAAGCCUGCAGCUUAACUGCAGAAUUGCCAUUGAUACUGUUAGUCUUGAGUACAGUUGAGGUAGGCGGAAUGUGUCAUGUAGCGGUGAAAUGCUUAGAUAUGACACAGAACACCGAUUUCGAAGGCAGCUUGCUAAGCUGUAACUGACGCUGAGGCACGAAAGCGUGGGGA